AAGUCGUAACAAGGUUUCCGUAGGUGAACCUGCGGAAGGAUCAUUAACACGUAUCCAAACGUUAAAACAACCCUGUGAACCUUCAGCGGGUUCUUGCAGGACAUCAAAACAGCAAUCCCGAGUAAAUCAGGCGCUAAAGAAUUACAGAUUUUGAUUUUGGGAAGUUCUGUGUGUACGUGGACGCUGCAAUUGAGCGGCAGGGAUCAAUGUUCAGGGUGGCGCAGUCAACGAUCGCUGUAGGUCCACACGACCGGCGACCGGGGUGGAGGCGAAAGCCCCUACGUCAUCCCUAUGUACCCUCCGGGACUUGGCGAAAGCUGACUCCGUCAUAAAUCGAACAACUGUUAACAAUGGAUAUCUUGGUUCUC
rnacentral:misc_RNA from 1 species